UUUUCAUGUUGCAUAGCAACUUUUAAAAUUAAAAUUUUUUUAAAACUUGCUCUAAAUUAAAUCAGGCCAAAGACCCUCCCAAAUCCCAAACACCAAUUUCACAGCUCUAUAUUACAACAAGUGGCCAACUAGAAAAAGAAGAGGGAAAAAGAGAGAGGAAGAGAACAAAACUCUUACCAUAAUAUUUUCAUGAUAAUUUUUGAUGAAAUUGAAUUUGAAUGCUGGGAUUUUUAAUUUUCUGCGAGUGAGCUCCGCCCAUUAUUAGUACACGUACGUAUGUGACGUCAUAAAACUCACGUGAUGUGCAUGUGGUCUGGUAGUGGCGCGGCACGAGACGCGAGUAAAACUUCAAACUUGAGCAUGCUAGUGUCAGUGGUGUGAGGAUUUUGUGCAAGGGUCACUGGACUGCGAGCUGGAUAGUUGGACUGUCUGAGCAGGCUGUGCCAUAGAUAUUGGCUGGGCUCACAGUCUAUUGGAUAUGAGUCUAUAUAGGGCUAUUAGUCGAGUCGAGGAGCUCCGGGCCGUUUACGAGUAGUGCUUAAGAGCGGACAAUGGACCGUGGAAGAGCGGACAAUGGACCGUGGGGUUUGGCACUCCGGCACUGUCAUUGAGGAACAGCACUGAUAACAAUUGACAACUAUGAUAUGAUAAUAACAAUUAUCAAGAAAAAUAUUUAGCAAGCCGGUUGCAGGACCAUAUAUAUACUGAAAGAGGACAUUGUGAAACACUUCAAGUUAACUCAGGUGCCGGCUCCCAGUAAAAGUUUGGUAUUGUACCUGCAGAUGGUUCCUAUGCCUUAACUACAGCAAUGAAGUGUUCGCUGCUGAUGGUAAGACUGUCGACUUUGAUGUUGGGAUCGUGUAAUUUGAAAUAUUUGAAAACAUCUCCUAAAUUUACUAAAUGACUAAUGAUCCUUUCAAAUUAGCAGCUACUAACAAGAAAUGGGUUUCUAUAUUCACAGGGUGCAUGGAGACCCUUUGUUGAUGUGGUGGGAGUAUUAUCUGGAAAAACGAUUGAAUUUAAAAUGCUUGAGAUAUUAUUUUGACAGGCAAAUGAAGCAAUGCUUAAAAGAUGCUCUUUGAUGUUAAAAGAAAUUUGAUUUCACUCCAUAGUCUCUAGAAAUUGAACAGAUGGUGUUCAGGGUCCAUUUAGAGGGUAAUCCAGUCCAUGAGCAUUCAUUAUUUGUCGUAAGGGCCACUAUUUGUCUUUCGUCAUCAGCCUCAUUGUUGCUAAAAGUCUGUACGUGUUUCAGAGCCCCUUCAUUGUCAUCAUCGAAUGUUCAAGUAUGAAUUUGUCACUCUGCUUGUGCAUGCAUCAUUGAAUUGUAAUAAUUGUUGCCAGUUACAGCAAUGUAAACUGUGUCGUUUAUGUUUUUUGUCGUUACUGCCCGGCCAGAAAUCGGAAUGUCUCAGCCCCUCUUUCGUUGUGUAAUCUUGCAGCAUACAGUUACCAGUAGUUAUUAUGUACUGUGUCUGCAUAAAAACUUUAAUAAUGUUUAACGAACUGUUUGGAAAGAUAGUAUCCAAUUUGAAAAAAGACUUGGUGAGAUUAAGCCAUUCUUCCUCACCAUUCAGUCUGGUAAUUAACCUAUGAUAAAAAUUAAAAGACUAAAUUUAGUAACCUACUCUUCAAUGGCAGUUUUUGAAAUGAUUCAAUGGUGAAUCUUCAUUUGACUGAUUAUUAGUAUGGUUAUAUUCAAUUUUAGUCUCCUCAAGUUUGUACUGCAACAGAACAAACUACAAUAGCUGAAAAUAAUAAAAUACAUAAUGCCAAGAAGGACAUAUUUAGGUUUGUCUACAUACUAGUGGUUCUCGUGCCUUAACUACAGUGGUGAAGUGUCCUCUGUUUAUGCUACUAAGAAGAACUGGCUUUCAAUAUUCACAGGAAGGAGACCCUUUGUUGUACGUGGUUAGGGUAUUACCUAAAAAACGGCAAUGCUUAAAAGAUGAUCUUUGAUGUUAAAGAGAUUUCACUCCAUAGUCUCCAGAAAUUGAACAGACAGUGUUCAGGGUUCCUUUAGAGGGUAAUCCAGUCCAUGAAUGUUCAUUAUUCGUCAUAAGAGUGAGAAAUAUUUUAUUUGUCUUUCUAAAUGCAUCAUCAUAAGCCUCAUUCUUGCUAAAAGUCUAUACGUGUUUCAGAGCCCCUUUAUUGUCAUUAUCGAACGUUUAAGGAUGAAGUCGUCGCUAUCAUUGAAUUGUAGUGAUUGUUGCUGGUUCGGCCAGGAAUCAUUAUUGUCUGAGAAUGUCUUGGCCCCUCUCUUGUUGUAUUGUAUACAGCUACCAGUAGUAAUUGUGUACUAGCUGUGUCUGUCCUUGUCAAUUUCAUGCAUAGAAACUUUGAUGUUUAGCUUAUGAUGUCUGUUUUGAAAAAACUUGGUGAGAUUAAGUCUGCACAUUCUUCAUCAUUGCAUUAUUAUGGUAUUGAGAGUGCUUCCAUUUUGUAAAAAACCUUUGGCCUGUGACUCGAUGAACUAUGAAGUAACUAGAGACAUGGAACACUACAUGUGUGAGUUGUACACAUUCAUUCAGUCUGGUAACCUAUGAUAGAAUAAUUUAUAAUAAUAUAUGAAAUGACUAACCUUUUCUUCAGUGGCAUUUAUUCUCUUUUCCAGAUACAUGGCUGAUAUUUGAC
rnacentral:lncRNA from 1 species